rnacentral:rRNA from 1 species
UACGUAGGUGGCGAGCGUUGUCCGGAUUUACCGGGCGUAAAGGGAGCGUAGGCGGACUUUUAAGCGAGAUGUGAAAUACUCGGGCUCAACUUGAGUGCUGCAUUUCAAACUGGAAGUCUAGAGUGCAGGAGAGGAGAAUGGAAUUCCUAGUGUAGCGGUGAAAUGCGUAGAGAUUAGGAAGAACACCAGUGGCGAAGGCGAUUCUCUGGACUGUGACUGACGCUGAGGCUCGAAAGCGUGGGGAGCAAACAGG